rnacentral:snRNA from 1 species
AUGCUUUGGUUUCUCUUCAAAGCAUACAAAUAUUUUGCCUUUUACUAAAGAUUUCCAUGGAGAAAAACUGAAUUGAGUUUUUAGAGAAUUUUUUAAAGCCUUGUACGUUUUCAAGAGA